AUUGAACGCUGGCGGCAUGCUUUACACAUGCAAGUCGAACGGCAGCACGGGGGCGAACCCUCGGUGGCGAGUGGCGAACGGGUGAGUAACACAUCGGAACGUGUCCAGUUGUGGGGGAUAACCCAUCGAAAGGUGGGCUAAUACCGCAUGAGCUGGCAACAGGAAAGCGGGGACCCGCAAGGCCUUGUGCGAUUGGAGCGGCCGAUGUCCGAUUAGCUAGUUGGUGGGGUAAAGGCCUACCAAGGCUUCGAUCGGUAGCUGGUCUGAGAGGAUGAUCAGCCACACUGGGACUGAGACACGGCCCAGACUCCUACGGGAGGCAGCAGUGGGGAAUUUUGGACAAUGGGGGCAACCCUGAUCCAGCCAUGCCGCGUGAGUGAAGAAGGCCUGGUUGU
rnacentral:rRNA from 1 species